GCGUUCGUAGCCGGGCCGGUAAGUCCUUGGGUAAAUCCUGCGUCUCAAGCGCGGGAAUUCUAAGGAUACUACCGGCCUUGAGGCCGGGAUAGGCGAGAGGUACUCCCGGGGUAGGGGUAAAAUCCUAUAAUCCUGGGGGGACCACCGAUGGCGAAGGCAUCUCGCUGGAACGGGCCUGACGGUGAGGGACGAAACCCAGGGGAGCGAGCCGGAUUAGAUACCCGGGUAGUCCUGGGCGUAAAUGAUGUGGGCUUGGUGUGAGCGCAUCGACGAGGUGCGCUUGUGCCGGAGGGAAGCCGUUAAGCCCACCGCCUGGGGAGUACGGUCGCAAGGCUGAAACUUAA
rnacentral:rRNA from 1 species